CCGCAAGCUAUUUUUAACAACUGUCAAAACAAUGUCAAAACAACAAAAUUGUCCCGGUAAGCGGGAUGAAAUUUUCUCAAAUAAACACAAGAGAAAUCAUCCUGCUUACCUACCUUAGCGGGCUGUCUCGCUAAGCGGGCCAGCCCGGCUUCCAUACAAACAGGCCCUAACAGUCUCUGUCAGGCAAUUACAAUGUUCUAAUGUCCAAACUCUAAAGUAUUAUAAACAAGCAGAACAG